rnacentral:misc_RNA from 1 species
AAGUCGUAACAAGGUUUCCGUUGGUGAACCAGCGGAAGGAUCAUUACAGAGUUCAUGCCCUUCGGGGUAGACCUCCCACCCUGUUUAAAUACUCUUGUUGCUUUGGCGGGCAGCCCUCACCAUGGGGCGGCCGGUUAACCCCGCGUCCCGCCCGCCAAAAGCCCCCAACUCUGUGUUUUGUAACGUCUGAGUACUAUAUAAUAAGUUAAAACUUUCAACAACGGAUCUCUUGGUUCUG